rnacentral:rRNA from 1 species
CAAUAGCGUAUAUUAAAGUUGUUGCAGUUAAAAAGCUCGUAGUUGAAGAUACGAACGCUUACACUAGAACAAAGUUUCCGGUGUCUGCGUUCACUUUUCGCAAAGACAGCCUGGCCCAUUAGUUUGGGUCUUGUUUGAGUUGCGUCAUUUACUGUGAACAAAUUAGGGUGUUUAAAGCAGGCCUACGUUUGAAUACACUAGCAUGGAAUAAUAAGAUAUGAUCUUGGUCGUAUUUUGUUGGUGACUACCAAGAUAAUGAUUGAUAGAAACUGUUGUGGGUAUUCGUAUGAGCAUGUCAGAGGUGAAAUUCUUGGAUUUUGAUCAGACGAACUACUGCGAAAGCAUUUAUCAAGGAUGUUUUCAUUAA